rnacentral:rRNA from 1 species
GCGACCUCUGCGAGAGCAAUCGUACCUCAUAAAUGUGCGUCGUAUUCCGGAUUGGAGUCUGCAACUCGACUCAAUGAAUUCGGAAUCGCUAGUAAUCGUGGAUCAGAAUGCCACGGUUGUAAUACGUUCCCGGGUCUUGUACACACCUGCCCGUCACACCAUGGGAGUGGGUUGCAAAAGAAGUAGGUAGCUUAACCUUCGGGAGGGCGCUUACCACUUUGUGAUUCAUGACUGGGGUGAAGUCGUAACAAGGUAACCGUAGGGGAACCUGCGGUUGGAUCACCUCCU